rnacentral:rRNA from 1 species
UAGGGAAUAUUGCGCAAUGGACGGAAGUCUGACGCAGCGACGCCGCGUGAGCGAUGAAGGCCUUCGGGUCGUAAAGCUCUGUCCUUGGGGAAGAAGGUCUUCGGACUUGACGGUACCCAAGAAGAAAGCCCCGGCUAACUACGUGCCAGCAGCCGCGGUAAUACGUAGGGGGCGAGCGUUGUCCGGAAUUACUGGGCGUAAAGGGUGCGUAGGCGGCCCUUUAAGUCAGAUGUGAAAGCCCGCGGCUUAACCGCGGAACUGCAUUUGAAACUGGAGGGCUUGAGUGUCGGAGAGGGUAGUGGAAUUCCCAGUGUAGCGGUGAAAUGCGUAGAUAUUGGGAGGAACACCAGUGGCGAAGGCGACUACCUGGACGAUAACUGACGCUGAGGCACGAAAGCUAGGGGAGCAAACAGG